rnacentral:rRNA from 1 species
AUUGAACGCUGGCGGCAGGCCUAACACAUGCAAGUCGAACGAGUGGCGGACGGGAGAGUAAUGUUUGGGAAUCCCGCUUAUGGAGGGGGAAAUCUUCGGGAAACUGGAGAUAACACCGCGUUCCAUAGUAUGCGCCUAAGUGGGAAUAGGUAGUUGGUGAGGUAAAGGCGCACGUACCCGACGACCUCUAGCUGGUCUGAGAGGAUGACCAGCCACACUGGGACUGAGACACGGCCCAGACUCCUACGGGAGGCAGCAGUGGGGAAUAUUGCACAAUGGGAGCAAGCCUGAUGCAGCCAUGCCGCGUGAAUGAAGAAGGCCGUCGGGUUGUAAAGUACUUUCGGUAGGGAGGCGUUAACUACAGAAGAAGCACCGGCUAACUCCGUGCCAGCAGCCGCGGUAAUUC